UACAGAGGCCUCGAGCGUUAGGCGGAAUCACUGGGCUUAAAGCGUGUGUAGGCGGACUUCUAAGUACCUUGUGAAAUCCCACGGCUCACCCGUGGAACUGCUUGGUAUACUGGUUGUCUUGAGCCUUCUAGGGGCGAGUGGAACAAAUGGUGGAGCGGUGAAAUGCGUAGAUAUCAGGAAGAACACCCGUGGCGAAGGCGGCUCUCUGGAACGCAACUGACGCUGAGACGCGAAAGCGUGGGGAGCAAACAGG
rnacentral:rRNA from 1 species